UUUUCUCCCUCCUCUGUUUUCCUUCCUGGCAAGCAGCUACUCUUCCAACAACAACAACAACAACAACGACAAACAGGGGGGGGGGAGGGAGAGAGAAAGAGAGAGAGAGGAGGGAGAGGGCAAGGUUGCGGUUUCCGGUUUAUUCUUCGUCGUCGGUGAUCGCCGGAGACUCCAUAGAUUCCGAUCGGGGAUGAGAGGUAGCUCAGGGUGAAGCGGAGAGAAGACAGGUAGACCGACAGAGACAGACCAGCCAGCCUGCGGCAGUUUCUUUUGCGUGUGUGUGUGGGCGAUAUUAUAUAUAAAUAUAUUUAAAAUAAUUAAAAAAAAAAGGAAGAAAGACUUCACAGAGAGAGAAGGGGAAGGGUAGACAUGUGGUUAACGUGCAUUGUAGGAAGAAAUAAUAGGGAGGAGAGGAGAGGUGAGGUGAAGAGUGCGAGAGAGAGAGGCGUCUGAGAGGAAGGGAGGUUUUGGUUUUGGUUUUGGGUUUGGAGGUUCUUGCACGGCACAGAUACCUUAGAUCUCUAUCUUCUUCAUUCUGCCAUCCUUUCUUCCUUCUACCUCUACCCCCACCCUUGCUUUAUGCCGUAAUUUAUUCUUUUUUUGAACUUCCCUUUUUUCUACCCUCUUUCUCUGUCUCUUCUUCUCUCGUCGCACCGUUUAAAUUCUCCGCCUUGCCUUUCAUUCUCUCUCUCCCUCUCUCUCGCGCUCCAUCCUUUUUUCCCCCCUAUAUCUUACUAAUUUUGCUCAGCUCUCUGUUUUUUUGUGGUUGCCGAGAUGGUGCGCUUGUUUUAAAUUUCGAGAGGUCUUGUUAUUUUUCCGAACUACGAUUUUCUUAGACUUCCCUGUAUAAUUGAUGCACUUUUGUGCUCUGGUGGUAGCCAAAGACGAGAUUUUUUUCAAGUUUGUUGGUGCUACUUGAGUUGAGUUGAGAUCACAUCAUGCCUUCUGAUAUUAUGGGUUCACAGGGCUUGUCCCCGUCCUCAUUUUUAUCUGAGGAUUUGCAUCCUGAUGAGGUAUUCUUUUCCUUAGACAGAUAGGGUUUUGGAAGACAGAUACCAUGCCUAAUUGCUAUGGUUCAAAAAUUGAUGGAACACUUCAUACAGUUGGUGUUGCUUCGUCUCCCCUUCAGAAAAGGAUACAAUUGGAUUCUCGAAUCAGCAAUCGUUUUGAUCUUCCAGAUUCUUUUCUCCACCAAGACCAGAGGGCUGCUACAAGCAUAGAGAAGCAUGCUGUUGGAGCAGCUGGAGCAACCAGUCGCUCAUUACCAAGAAACUUUGACCAUGAUUUGGUCACAAGGCCUAAUUUUAGUGUGGAGCCUGCUUCUUAUUUUAUGGAAGGGGAAAAAUUGAAUUUAGUUGGCGCUCAAUAUGAGAAUGGUCUCUUUUCAAGCUCGUUGUCUGAGUUAUUUAGCAGGAAAUUGCGACUAUCAUCGAAUAAUCCUCCUUAUGGUCACUCUGUGGGUGCUGCUGCCUCUCAAUAUGAGGAAGAGGAGACCUUUGAAUCACUCGAAGAACUUGAGGCUCACACAAUUGGGAAUCUUCUACCUGAUGACGACGACCUACUCUCUGGAGUGACUGAUGGAAUGGACAAUAUUACCCAACCCAAUAAUGGAGAUGACAUAGAAGAUUUAGAUGUUUUUAGCAGUAUUGGAGGAUUGGAGCUGGGAGAAGAUGGUUUUCCAUCGGGACAAAAUAAUUCUGACAUCUCGGGUGAAAAUGCCAAUGGUCAGUUGGUGGGUUCGGGUGUAGGGGAGCACCCUUUUGGAGAACACCCUUCAAGGACACUCUUUGUCAGAAAUAUUAAUAGCAAUGUAGAGGAUUGUGAGUUACGAACACUUUUCGAGCAAUAUGGAGAUAUUCGCACCCUAUAUACAGCAUGUAAGCAUCGCGGUUUUGUUAUGAUUUCAUACUAUGAUAUUAGAGCUGCUCGGAAUGCAAUGAAAGCCCUACAGAAUAAACCAUUAAGGCGUAGGAAACUUGACAUUCAUUUCUCAAUUCCAAAGGACAAUCCAUCAGAGAAAGAUGUCAAUCAAGGAACUCUUGUGGUUUUUAACCUUGACUCUUCCGUCUCAAAUGAUGAGCUCCGUCAAAUUUUUGGUGUCUAUGGUGAAAUUAAGGAGAUUCGUGAGACUCCGCAUAGAAGUCAUCACAAAUUUAUUGAAUUUUAUGAUGUGCGAGCAGCAGAAGCUGCACUUCGGGCAUUGAAUAGGAGUGACAUUGCAGGGAAGCGGAUUAAGCUCGAACCCAGCCGUCCUGGUGGUGCUAGACGAUUGACGCAGCCAUUUACGUCAGAGUUGGAGCAGGAAGAAUCUAGUCUUUAUUUGCAACAGACAAGCCCUCGAAGUACUGCAUCAACUGGAUUUUCUGGACCAUUUUCACAUGGAGGAAUUCCAUCUAGCAUGGAUAACGGAACAAUCUUUGGGUCCCAAUCUGCCAGUGGAGCAACUGUUACUCCAUUCUUUGACAAUGCUUUCCACCAUGUUGUAUCUUCUGCUCCUAACAGCCUACCUUCUUUGACAAGGGCGGGAUCUUCUGGCAAUCACACCAGAGAUGGUGAAUCUAGCCAUUCACAGGGUGAGAUGAAAUUAGAGCUCCGGAGUGUGCCAAACUAUCAUCCUCAUUCACUUCCUGAUUAUCAUGAUGGGUUGGGAAAUGGGAUUUCUUGCAAUUCCCCAGGCCACAUGUCUUCUAAUAUAAGUGCAAGGCCUUCUGAAAUGAUUGAGAACACGCAGUUCUGCAGAUUCGGCUCCAAAGGGCACCCUGUUGAGCUGAAUGAUGGUGUUUUUGGUCAUUCUGGAAAUGGGAGCUGUCCACCUCCUGGACGUCACUAUAUGUGGAGUAAUACGCACCAUCCUCAGCCUCAGGGCAUGAUGUGGCAAAAUUCACCUUCAUUUGUUAAUGGGGUUUGUACUCCUCCUCAUGCUCAACAACUGCAUGCAGUUCCUCGAGCGCCAAACCAAAUGCUCAAUGCGGUUCUACCUCAAAGUAACCACCAUGUGGGAUCUGCACCAUCUGUCAAUCCUUCUCUUUGGGACAGACGACAUGCAUUUGCAGGGGAAUCUCCUGAUGCUUCUGUUUUCCACCCUGGUUCUCUUGGAAAUAUUAGGAUUUCUGGUAAUGCACCACAUCCUUUGGAAUUUGUUCCCCGUAACAUUUUUUCGGGUGCUGGAGGAGGCUGUGUGGAGCUGGCGGUUCCUUCCAAAAGUGUUGGAUUUAACUCUCUUCCUCAGAGGUGCAUGAUGUUUCCUACAAGGGGCCAAAUGAUUCCUAUGAUAAAUUCGUUUGAUUCUCCAAAUGAAAGGAGUCGAAACCGUAGAAAUGAAAGUAAUUCGAGUCAGGCUGACAACAAGAAACAGUUUGAACUUGACAUUGACCGCAUUAUGCGAGGAGAAGAUAAACGAACAACUCUUAUGAUAAAGAACAUUCCUAACAAGUAUGUAGCUUUGACUGAGGCUUGGGACUAUGCUUUUGUUUGGUAUUCUUAUGCAUUUGCUUGACUUCAUCAUUGAUCAAAUUGAAUGGGAAAUAGAAUUUGCGGAGGAAAUGUGUUGUUGUCUCUUGAUGUUUCAUAUAUAAAGGGAUACAUCCUGGUUUAAACAAAUCAGAUCAUCUCAGGCAGGAUAGCUCUCCAUUACAUCAACUUUGAUGUGAUUCAUGCUUCAUGAUAAGCACCUUUGUCUUCUUUGCCUUUUUCAUUGUUAUUAUUUUUGUCAUUGUUUUUGGUUAGCUUUCUUCUUCUAGUUUUUUGCCUGGACAAAAAUGUGGUUGCAUAUGGAUUGUCCUAGGAGGUUCACAUGAAUUGCAAGUGGCUUGAAGUGAAUGCGAAUCUGCUAAAUACACUUCAAAGAUGCUUUUGGCUGCAAUUGAUGAACGCCAUCGAGGAACAUAUGAUUUCAUCUACUUGCCCAUUGAUUUUAAGAACAAAUGCAAUGUGGGAUAUGCAUUUAUCAACAUGACCGAUCCCUCCUUGAUCAUCCCAUUUUAUCAGGCAUUCAACGGGAAGAAAUGGGAAAAGUUUAAUAGUGAAAAAGUAGCCUCCCUUGCAUAUGCUCGCAUACAGGGAAAAGCUGCUCUUAUUGCGCACUUCCAAAAUUCAAGCUUGAUGAAUGAAGACAAGCGAUGCAGGCCGAUACUAUUCCACACUGAUGGUCCCAAUGCAGGUGAUCAGGUACCUUUUCCCAUGGGUGUUAAUGUUCGACCAAGACCCAGCAAAAAUCGGGCAACCACAAGCGAGGAGAACAGCCAAGAAAACGCACCGAAUUUGCCAAAUGGGGAGUUAUGUUUUAACGGAGACUCCGCUUCAGGUUCUGUCAAGGAGUCAGAUUGAGCAAGCUGAUGCUACUUUUUUGUGGGCACUAACUUAGUAGGAUUUAAGUAAUUUUGAGUGAUUCCACCCAAAUUUUACUGAUGUAUAUUAGGGUGGUUAAUGGAGGAAUGAAAAGACACCACAAAAAAAAAAAAAAAAGAGGAGGAGAGAGGACAGUUUUGUUGUGAUUUUGGAGAGACUCCUGAAAUUAUUGAGUGGUACUUGAUAAGAGCAUUGUAUUCCCGUUCGCAAUGGGUUUAUCAUCACUUCGAGGCUGCUAUUAGAAAAGGAGCAUUGGAUGGAGCUUCAAAUUUUGGAUAUUGAGGAAAUUAAGUCCAGAUAUAUAUAUAUAUAUAUAUAAAUUUAUGUGUAUAGGAGUUCUGGAGUGACUGCAAAAUAUUUGCUGCACAGAGGAGGCUUCUCUUGGCAUUUUGCAUUUCCCUCUGCACUUUGCUUGGAGAAAUUAGAGAUCAUUGUUAAAACAUUCUUGAUGUAACAAAACUGUUGUGGUCUUGUACCGAUUUCCUGGAUACGAGUCCCGAGAUACUGUGGCUCGUUUAGCAUGGUUAUCAUCACAUUGUCAAUAUUUCUGUCC